CAGUCGCCGCGGUAAUACGAAGGGGGCUAGCGUUGUUCGGAAUUACUGGGCGUAAAGCGCACGUAGGCGGACAUUUAAGUCAGGGGUGAAAUCCCGGGGCUCAACCCCGGAACUGCCUUUGAUACUGGGUGUCUAGAGUAUGGAAGAGGUGAGUGGAAUUCCGAGUGUAGAGGUGAAAUUCGUAGAUAUUCGGAGGAACACCAGUGGCGAAGGCGGCUCACUGGUCCAUUACUGACGCUGAGGUGCGAAAGCGUGGGGAGCAAACAGGAUUAGAUACCCGCGUAGUCCCUGUCUCUUAUAC
rnacentral:rRNA from 1 species